GCUGACUGGCCACAUUCUGACAUAUUUGGAAUGAGGCUCUGGAGGCCUCUUGAGACAGUCAGGCCAGUUUAGCAAGUGAUGAAGGAAAGCUUCCCCUGGACUGGGGAGGAGUGGGUGGGCACCCCUCCCUGGCAUCUGAGAAAAAGUCAGGGUUGUAGAUAACAGGUUAUUUCUGGUGCAAGGAAGGAAAAUAUUGCAGCACGGUCCCUUUGUGUGUCCUAGAUCUCGUGACACACCUGCUGAAAUUUUGUUGUGUUGUCUACAAUUUAAAGGGAACCCCUGGGUAGAAAUUGAAAAUCAUCUGUUUUGUGGGCCUGUUUUUUCUUUUUUUUUUUUAAUUGGCUAUUCUGAUCAUGUUGGUUGUAAAGGAAAUAGAGGUGCAUGAUGGUACUGAUGGGGGCGGGGUCAGUUUUCUUUUGUUUCUAUUGGCGUCUCUAAGGAUUGAGACCUGACCUGGGUCUUGCCUCUCGCGCACCACCUAUCAUGGAUGGAAGUGUGACCAGAAAUGGAUAUCUCAGCUAAUUUUUAUUAGCCCCUGUCUGUUCACCAAACCCUCUUAUAAUAUUGAGCAAAAAAAUCUGGCAAAUUGGACUUGAGGGGUGGUAAUUUGAUGAUGGGCUGAGUUAUUUUGGUGAAAGAUCAUUUAUGCUCAGUUUCACAGAGGAGACUCUUAUUACUUAAUGUUUUGCUUUUCUGCCUAAGGAGUUUUUUUUUUUUUUUUUUUUUCUAAUUAGGUUUGAAAUUUCAAGGGCUUGCUUUAUAGCUUGACUUUGGACCAAGCUAAGAAAAAGGGUUUGCUUAUACUUUCAGCCCCGCAAAGAGGUGAACUUGAACAAGGGCUCUUGUUUUUGCAGAAGGAAAGCAACAAAGAUGGCUGGUCAGUAUAAGGGUGACCUCUCCCUGGUCCUCGAAAAGAAACAGCCAAUGAUUUGUUUCGUUCAAGAAACAGAGUUUAAAAACUCCUCCAUUGUCAGAUACAGUUUUUUCCCCUACCUUUGACUCAGCUCUUGGCCUGCUGCUUCCUCUGACCUCAGAAUCCUCCUGUCUUCUUCUUGGUGGGGUGAUAAGAACUUCCUUGUGUGUUUCACCGGCUGCAUAAGCUGCGUUUUCAUGGUCAUGGUGAAAUUUUGAAAUUUUUCCAUGUUCUUGUGAUGUUUCAUGUCAGUUGUGUCUCCUCCCUGGUGAUGGAAAGUGAAGUGGCUUUAUGGGUACACAGGAACCCUAGCUCUCCCAAGGUCUUACUGUAUGACCUUGGACAAGCCACUUUUUCCUUUGGAGCCUCGGUUUUUGCAUUUGUAAAAUGAGAGCUUUGAAUCAAAACAGGGAUAUUAAGGAAUAAUUUUCUCCUGUGAUUCUGACUCCAGGUAGCUGCCUGGAUCACUGGAUUUGAGAAGGAGUCUGAGGUUACACGUUGUGUUGUGUUGUCUAUGAUUUAAAGGGAACCCCUGGGUAGAAAUUGAAAAUCAUCUCUGUUUUGUGGGCCUGUUUUUUCUAUAUGGAACUCAUACUCUAGAGGGUGGGGUGCAGUGGUCAAAUAGCAGUACCCUUCACAGAAUGGGGGGUGUACUUCUUAUUCAUCACACCCAGGCUAGGCUGUGAAUCAUGGUCAUGAUCGGCAUGAUAAAAAAAAGAAUAGGAGUUCCCGUUGUGGCUCGGUGGUUAACGAACCCUACUAGCAUCCACGAGGACGCAGGUUCGCUCCCUGGCCUCGCUCAGUGGGUUAAGGAUCCAGUGUUGCCGUGAGCUGUGGUGUAGGUCGAAGACGUGGCUCCGAUCCUGCGUGUCUGUGGCAUAGGUCAGCGGCUACAGGAACGAUUUGAUCCCUAGGCUGGGAGCCUCCAGAUGCCCUGGUGAGGGCCUAAAAAGAC
ensembl:lncRNA